AACGAACGCUGGCGGCAUGCCUAACACAUGCAAGUCGAACGAGACCUUCGGGUCUAGUGGCGCACGGGUGCGUAACGCGUGGGAAUCUGCCCUUGGGUUCGGAAUAACAGUUAGAAAUGACUGCUAAUACCGGAUAAUGUCUUCGGACCAAAGAUUUAUCGCCCAGGGAUGAGCCCGCGUAGGAUUAGCUAGUUGGUGAGGUAAAGGCUCACCAAGGCGACGAUCCUUAGCUGGUCUGAGAGGAUGAUCAGCCACACUGGGACUGAGACACGGCCCAGACUCCUACGGGAGCAGCAGUGGGAAUAUUGGACAAUGGGCGAAAGCCUGAUCCAGCAAUGCCGCGUGAGUGAUGAAGGCC
rnacentral:rRNA from 1 species